rnacentral:rRNA from 1 species
UACGUAGGGGGGCAAGCGUUGUCCGGAUUCAUUGGGCGUAGAGAGCGUGUAGGCGGCCAGGUAGGUCGGUUGUGAAAACUGGAGGCUCAACCUUCAGAGGUCGACCGAAACCAUCUGGCUAGAGUCCGGGAGAGGAGAGUGGAAUUCCUGGUGUAGCGGUGAAAUGCGCAGAUAUCAGGAAGAACACCCGUGGCGAAAGCGGCUCUCUGGAACGGUACUGACGCUGAGACGCGAAAGCGUGGGGAGCGAACAGG